AAGGGUUUAUGAAUUAUAAUUUUUAUUUUAUUUAUUUUUAGAAUUUUAUUUCUAAGUAAAAAAGCUUAGUUUUUUUUUUGGGACGAAAAGACCCUAUAGAACUUAAUUAAUUUAAUUUAUUAUUUAUUUUUUGUUUAAUAACACUAAGUUAAUAUUUAUAUUUGUUUGAUUGGGGCGAUUAUUAAGAAUAAUAAAACUUUAUUUCUUUUUUUCAUUUAUUUAUGAUUUAUUGAUCCAAUUUUUAUUGAUUAAAAGAUUAAGUUACCUUAGGGAUAACAGCGUAAUUUUAAU
rnacentral:rRNA from 1 species